CCUACGGGAGGCAGCAGUGGGGAAUAUUGGACAAUGGGGGGAACCCUGAUCCAGCCAUGCCGCGUGUGUGAAGAAGGCCCUCGGGUUGUAAAGCACUUUCAGUGGGGAAGAACGCCUGGAGGUUAAUACCCAUCAGGAAAGACAUCACUCACAGAAGAAGCACCGGCUAACUCCGUGCCAGCAGCCGCGGUAAUACGGAGGGUGCGAGCGUUAAUCGGAAUUACUGGGCGUAAAGCGCGCGUAGGUGGCUUGAUAAGCCGGUUGUGAAAGCCCCGGGCUCAACCUGGGAACGGCAUCCGGAACUGUCAAGCUAGAGUGCAGGAGAGGAAGGUAGAAUUCCCGGUGUAGCGGUGAAAUGCGUAGAGAUCGGGAGGAAUACCAGUGGCGAAGGCGGCCUUCUGGACUGACACUGACACUGAGGUGCGAAAGCGUGGGUAGCAAACAGGAUUAGAUACCCCAGUAGUC
rnacentral:rRNA from 1 species